rnacentral:rRNA from 1 species
UACGUAGGUGUCGAGCGUUGUCCGGAUUUAUUGGGCGUAAAGCGCCCGCAGGCGGCUUGGCAAGUUCGAGGUGAAAUCUCCCGGCUCAACUGGGAGGGUGCCUCGGAAACUGCCAGGCUUGAGGCAGGGAGAGGGAUGUGGAAUUCCCGGUGUAGUGGUGAAAUGCGUAGAUAUCGGGAGGAACACCAGUGGCGAAGGCGGCAUCCCGCUGGCCCUG